rnacentral:rRNA from 1 species
AGAGUUUGAUCCUGGCUCAGGACGAACGCUGGCGGCGCGCCUAACACAUGCAAGUCGAACGAGCGAGAGGGAGCUUGCUUUCUCGAGCGAGUGGCGAACGGGUGAGUAACGCGUGAGGAACCUGCCUCAAAGAGGGGGACAACAGUUGGAAACGACUGCUAAUACCGCAUAAGCCCACGACCUGGCAUCGGGUUGAGGGAAAAGGAGCAAUCCGCUUUGAGAUGGCCUCGCGUCCGAUUAGCUAGUUGGUGAGGUAACGGCCCACCAAGGCAACGAUCGGUAGCCGGACUGAGAGGUUGAACGGCCACAUUGGGACUGAGACACGGCCCAGACUCCUACGGGAGGCAGCAGUGGGGAAUAUUGCACAAUGGGGGAAACCCUGAUGCAGCGACGCCGCGUGGAGGAAGAAGGUCUUCGGAUUGUAAACUCCUGUUGUUGAGGAAGAUAAUGACGGUACUCAACAAGGAAGUGACGGCUAACUACGUGCCAGCAGCCGCGGUAAAACGUAGGUCACAAGCGUUGUCCGGAAUUACUGGGUGUAAAGGGAGCGCAGGCGGGAAGACAAGUUGGAAGUGAAAUCCAUGGGCUCAACCCAUGAACUGCUUUCAAAACUGUUUUUCUUGAGUAGUGCAGAGGUAGGCGGAAUUCCCGGUGUAGCGGUGGAAUGCGUAGAUAUCGGGAGGAACACCAGUGGCGAAGGCGGCCUACUGGGCACCAACUGACGCUGAGGCUCGAAAGUGUGGGUAGCAAACAGGAUUAGAUACCCUGGUAGUCCACACCGUAAACGAUGAUUACUAGGUGUUGGAGGAUUGACCCCUUCAGUGCCGCAGUUAACACAAUAAGUAAUCCACCUGGGGAGUACGACCGCAAGGUUGAAACUCAAAGGAAUUGACGGGGGCCCGCACAAGCAGUGGAGUAUGUGGU